rnacentral:rRNA from 1 species
UACGUAGGGUGCAAGCGUUGUCCGGAAUUAUUGGGCGUAAAGAGCUCGUAGGCGGUUGUCGCGUCGAAUGUGAAAGCCCGGGGCUCAACCCCGGGUCGGCCGUGCGAACUGGUGGACUGGAGCUUGUCAGAGGCAGGCGGAAUUCCGGGUGUAGCGGUGGAAUGCGUAGAGAUCCGGAAGAACACCGGUGGCGAAGGCGGCCUGCUGGGACAGUGCUGACGCUGAAGCGCGACAGCGUGGGGGGAGCAAACAGGAUAGAAACCCACUAGU